rnacentral:snoRNA from 1 species
UCUGCCCCUAGAAGCAAUGCAAGUAUGACUGCUGUAUCUCCUGUGUGUCUGUAGGUGGCAGGAAGAGUGCGCUAUGUCUAUGCUCAAUGUUCUGAUUUACAUGUGAAUGAUGAGUAGUCUACUGU